rnacentral:rRNA from 1 species
GGGUGACCGGCCACACUGGGACUGAGACACGGCCCAGACUCCUACGGGAGGCAGCAGUGGGGAAUAUUGCACAAUGGGCGCAAGCCUGAUGCAGCAACGCCGCGUGAGGGAUGACGGCCUUCGGGUUGUAAACCUCUUUUAGCAGGGAAGAAGCGAAAGUGACGGUACCUGCAGAAAAAGCGCCGGCUAACUACGUGCCAGCAGCCGCGGUAAUACGUAGGGCGCAAGCGUUAUCCGGAAUUAUUGGGCGUAAAGAGCUCGUAGGCGGUUUGUCGCGUCUGCUGUGAAAUCCGGAGGCUCAACCUCCGGCCUGCAGUGGGUACGGGCAGACUAGAGUGCGGUAGGGGAGAUUGGAAUUCCUGGUGUAGCGGUGGAAUGCGCAGAUA